rnacentral:tmRNA from 1 species
UUAUGUUUUGGUGGGGGCGAAAUAGGAUCGACGAGAGCGUAAAGAUUGCUUUUUUACCCGGCAUAGUACCACCGUUAUCGGACUAACUUAGUAGUUGCAAAUGACAACUAUGCGGAAGCACGUCACGCUGCGUAAUGCGGUGCGAAUGUUUCAAACUAAG